AUGAACAUAUCUCCUAACAAUAAAAGGUGAUAAAAAUCAAAAUCCAUGUUAUUUAACCCUUGACUAGCCUAGUUGCUGUUCAUCAUCAACUUCUCUCUUUCUCUCUCUAAAACAGACCGUCAUCAUCAUCCAUUAAGGUCACAGCAUGGGAAGCAAGACAGACACAUGGUCUGAUCAAUGGGGAACAGGUGUGUUCGACAAUGACGAAAAAGAUUAUGAAAAACAGAAUAACAAGAGCAACAACAAGAAGAUGGACCAAGUGAAGGCGGUUGCAUCAACCGGAUUAGUGAAGGCGAAAUCUGCAGCCAUUGUUGGAGCUCAUAAAGUGAAGAAAGGUACCUCCACUGGUUUCAAAUGGAUCAAGAACAAAUGCUCAUCUUCUAAGUGAACAUAUUUUCAUCAUCGUCGUUCCAUCUUGCUUUUAUAUCAAAUGAUUUCGUUUUCAGUUUACAAGGACUCUAUACAUUGCAGAACACAUAUGGAUGAUUGAUUAACUAGUUCAGUUUUCACAUAACCUUUA